rnacentral:rRNA from 1 species
AGAGUUUGAUCCUGGCUCAGAAUCAACGCUGGCGGCGUGCCUCAGACAUGCAAGUCGAACGAUUAAAGCUCUCUUCGGAGAGUGCAUAGAGUGGCGCACGGGUGAGUAACACGUAAGUAAUCUACCCUCGAGUGGGGAAUAACGUCCGGAAACGGACGCUAAUACCGCAUAAUGCAGCGGCACCGCAAGGUGACAGUUGUUAAAGGAGAAAUUCGCUUGAGGAGGAGCUUGCGGCAGAUUAGCUAGUUGGUAAGGUAAUGGCUUACCAAGGCUACGAUCUGUAACCGGUCUAAGAGGACGGUCGGUCACACUGACACUGAAUAACGGGUCAGACUCCUACGGGAGGCAGCAGUCGGGAAUUUUGGGCAAUGGGGGAAACCCUGACCCAGCAACGCCGCGUGAAGGAUGAAGUAUUUCGGUAUGUAAACUUCGAAAGAAUAGGAAGAAUCAAUGACGGUACUAUUUAUAAGGUCCGGCUAACUACGUGCCAGCAGCCGCGGUAAUACGUAGGGACCAAGCGUUGUUCGGAUUUACUGGGCGUAAAGGGCGCGUAGGCGGCGCUGUAAGUCACUUGUGAAAUCUCCGGGCUUAACUCGGAACGGCCAAGUGAUACUGCAGUGCUAGAGUGCAGAAGGGGCAAUCGGAAUUCUUGGUGUAGCGGUGAAAUGCGUAGAUAUCAAGAGGAACACCUGAGGUGAAGACGGGUUGCUGGGCUGACACUGACGCUGAGGCGCGAAAGCCAGGGGAGCAAACGGGAUUAGAUACCCCGGUAGUCCUGGCCCUAAACGAUGAAUACUUGG